UGGGGAAUAUUGCACAAUGGGCGCAAGCCUGAUGCAGCGACGCCGCGUGCGGGAUGACGGCCUUCGGGUUGUAAACCGCUUUUGACUGGGAGCAAGCCCUUCGGGGUGAGUGUACCUUUCGAAUAAGCACCGGCUAACUACGUGCCAGCAGCCGCGGUAAUACGUAGGGUGCAAGCGUUAUCCGGAAUUAUUGGGCGUAAAGGGCUCGUAGGCGGUUCGUCGCGUCCGGUGUGAAAGUCCAUCGCUUAACGGUGGAUCCGCGCCGGGUACGGGCGGGCUUGAGUGCGGUAGGGGAGACUGGAAUUCCCGGUGUAACGGUGGAAUGUGUAGAUAUCGGGAAGAACACCAAUGGCGAAGGCAGGUCUCUGGGCCGUCACUGACGCUGAGGAGCGAAAACGUGGGGAGCGAACAGGAUUAGAUACCCUGGUAGUCCACGCCGUAAACGGUGGAUGCUGGAUGUGGGGACCAUUCCACGGUCUCCGUGUCGGAGCCAACGCGUUAAGCAUCCCGCCUGGGGAGUACGGCCGCAAGGCUAAAACUCAAAGAAAUUGACGGGGGCCCGCACAAGCGGCGGAGCAUGCGGAUUAAUUCGAUGCAACGCGAAGAACCUUACCUGGGCUUGACAUGUUCCCGACAGCCCCAGAGAUGGGGCCUCCCUUCGGGGCGGGUUCACAGGUGGUGCAUGGUCGUCGUCAGCUCGUGUCGUGAGAUGUUGGGUUAAGUCCCGCAACGAGCGCAACCCUCGCCCUGUGUUGCCAGCACGUCGUGGUGGGAACUCACGGGGGACCGCCGGGGUCAACUCGGAGGAAGGUGGGGAUGACGUCAGAUCAUCAUGCCCCUUACGUCCAGGGCUUCACGCAUGCUACAAUGGCCGGUACAACGGGAUGCGACACCGCGAGGUGGAGCGGAUCCCUUAAAACCGGUCUCAGUUCGGAUUGGAGUCUGCAACCCGACUCCAUGAAGGCGGAGUCGCUAGUAAUCGCGGAUCAGCAACGCCGCGGUGAAUGCGUUCCC
rnacentral:rRNA from 1 species